CGCGGAUUGGCGUAAUGGCAGCGCGUUGGGCCUCAAUAGCCCGGAGUGAGAAGGUUCGAUUCCUUCAUCCGCAA
rnacentral:tRNA from 1 species